rnacentral:rRNA from 1 species
GUCCACACAGUAAACGAUGAAUACUCGCUGUUUGCGAUAUACAGUAAGCGGCCAAGCGAAAGCAUUAAGUAUUCCACCUGGGGAGUACGCCGGCAACGGUGAAACUCAAAGGAAUUGACGGGGGCCCCGCACAAGCGGAGGAACAUGUGGUUUAAUUCGAUGAUACGCGAGGAACCUUACCCGGGCUUAAAUUGCAGUGGAAUGAUGUGGAAACAUGUCAGUGAGCAAUCACCGCUGUGAAGGUGCUGCAUGGUUGUCGU